rnacentral:rRNA from 1 species
GAUGAACGCUGGCGGCGUGCCUAAUACAUGCAAGUCGAGCGAAAAGACGAGGAGCUUGCUCCUCUGACGUUAGCGGCGGACGGGUGAGUAACACGUGGAUAACCUACCUAUAAGACUGGGAUAAAUUCGGGAAACCGGAGCUAAUACCGGAUAAUAUAUUGAACCGCAUGGUUCAAUAGUGAAAGACGGUUUUGCUGUCACUUAUAGAUGGAUCCGCGCCGCAUUAGCUAGUUGGUAAGGUAACGGCUUACCGAGGCAACGAUGCGUAGCCGACCUGAGAGGGUGAUCCGCCACACUGGAACUGAGACACGGUCCAGACUCCUACGUGACGCAGCAGUAGGGAAUCUUCCGCAAUGGGCGAAAGCUUGACGGAGCACCGCCGCGUGAGUGAUGAAGGUCUUCGGAUCGUAAAACUCUGUUAUUAGUGAAGAACAAAUGUGUAAGUAACUAUGCACGUCUUGACGGUACCUAAUCAGAAAGCCACGGCUAACUACGUG